ACACUUCGGUCUUCGAGAGUUGGAGGACCAAAAGCUUUCCUGUCCACUAGAAGCGACAAGAGUCUCCAAUUCAGUCAUUUUGUCGAACACCUUAUUCGCGGGAAACAAUGACCCUUCUGGUUGCUCCCACCACCCUCAAUGCGUGCAGCAUCAACAAUGUCGAAAUCCCCGUCAUCAACUCCUUUGGCUGUCCCGGCUUUAUAGUGAAGAAGUUGGUAGAAAGAUGAUGAGAUGAAGCUGAAAAUUGGAAACGUGUUGGAAGCCAAAAGACUUGAUGCAGGAGCAACAUUAAGAGCAAUUAAAAGGCUUCUCUGAUGCUCGUCUUGUUGCUUCUCAUGGGGCUGCUACUGACUGCUUGGAUUGUCUAGCUUGCGUGGUUGAUUUCGUUGGACCUCUCCUUGGCUCUAUCUUAUGUAAGUUGGCCUUUAUUUCAUGUUUCUAUUAAUGUUUUUUUUUUCAUUUUAUUUAGUUUUUUCUUCCUUUGCUUUUCUACUGUAAUAGUUUGAAUCAAUGCUCGUAGGUUUUGUUUCAAAUGAUGUAUUUUUAGAGGGUCAUUGAUUCACUAAGGACUUGUAAUCUCUUAUUUUAUUUAACGUGUAGGGCCCUACUGUGAGUUUUA